AGAGUUUGAUCCUGGCUCAGGAUGAACGCUGGCGGCGUGCCUAAUACAUGCAAGUCGAGCGAACGGACGAGAAGCUUGCUUCUCUGAUGUUAGCGGCGGACGGGUGAGUAACACGUGGAUAACCUACCUAUAAGACUGGGAUAACUUCGGGAAACCGGAGCUAAUACCGGAUAAUAUUUUGAACCGCAUGGUUCAAAAGUGAAAGACGGUCUUGCUGUCACUUAUAGAUGGAUCCGCGCUGCAUUAGCUAGUUGGUAAGGUAACGGCUUACCAAGGCAACGAUGCAUAGCCGACCUGAGAGGGUGAUCGGCCACACUGGAACUGAGACACGGUCCAGACUCCUACGGGAGGCAGCAGUAGGGAAUCUUCCGCAAUGGGCGAAAGCCUGACGGAGCAACGCCGCGUGAGUGAUGAAGGUCUUCGGAUCGUAAAACUCUGUUAUUAGGGAAGAACAUAUGUGUAAGUAACUGUGCACAUCUUGACGGUACCUAAUCAGAAAGCCACGGCUAACUACGUGCCAGCAGCCGCGGUAAUACGUAGGUGGCAAGCGUUAUCCGGAAUUAUUGGGCGUAAAGCGCGCGUAGGCGGUUUUUUAAGUCUGAUGUGAAAGCCCACGGCUCAACCGUGGAGGGUCAUUGGAAACUGGAAAACUUGAGUGCAGAAGAGGAAAGUGGAAUUCCAUGUGUAGCGGUGAAAUGCGCAGAGAUAUGGAGGAACACCAGUGGCGAAGGCGACUUUCUGGUCUGUAACUGACGCUGAUGUGCGAAAGCGUGGGGAUCAAACAGGAUUAGAUACCCUGGUAGUCCACGCCGUAAACGAUGAGUGCUAAGUGUUAGGGGGUUUCCGCCCCUUAGUGCUGCAGCUAACGCAUUAAGCACUCCGCCUGGGGAGUACGACCGCAAGGUUGAAACUCAAAGGAAUUGACGGGGACCCGCACAAGCGGUGGAGCAUGUGGUUUAAUUCGAAGCAACGCGAAGAACCUUACCAAAUCUUGACAUCCUUUGACAACUCUAGAGAUAGAGCCUUCCCCUUCGGGGGACAAAGUGACAGGUGGUGCAUGGUUGUCGUCAGCUCGUGUCGUGAGAUGUUGGGUUAAGUCCCGCAACGAGCGCAACCCUUAAGCUUAGUUGCCAUCAUUAAGUUGGGCACUCUAAGUUGACUGCCGGUGACAAACCGGAGGGAAAGUGGGGAUGACGUCAAAUCAUCAUGCCCCUUAUGAUUUGGGCUACACACGUGCUACAAUGGACAAUACAAAGGGCAGCGAAACGUGACAAACUGGAGGAAGGUGGGGAUGACGUCAAAUCAUCAUGCCCCUUAUGAUUUGGGCUACACACGUGCUACAAUGGACAAUACAAAGGGCAGCGAAACCGCGAGGUCAAGCAAAUCCCAUAAAGUUGUUCUCAGUUCGGAUUGUAGUCUGCAACUCGACUACAUGAAGCUGGAAUCGCUAGUAAUCGUAGAUCAGCAUGCUACGGUGAAUACGUUCCCGGGUCUUGUACACACCGCCCGUCACACCACGAGAGUUUGUAACACCCGAAGCCGGUGGAGUAACCUUUUAGGAGCUAGCCGUCGAAGGUGGGACAAAUGAUUGGGGUGAAGUCGUAACAAGGUAGCCGUAUCGGAAGGUGCGGCUGGAUCACCU
rnacentral:rRNA from 1 species